rnacentral:rRNA from 1 species
GAUGAACGCUGGCGGCGUGCCUAAUACAUGCAAGUCGAGCGAACGGACGAGAAGCUUGCUUCUCUGAUGUUAGCGGCGGACGGGUGAGUAACACGUGGAUAACCUACCUAUAAGACUGGGAUAACUUCGGGAAACCGUAGCUAAUACCGGAUAAUACUUUGAACCGCAUGGUUCAAAAGUGAAAGACGGUCUUGCUGUCACGUAUAGAUGGAUCCGCGCUGCAGUAGCUAGUUGGUGAGGUAACGGCUUACCAAGGCAACGAUGCAUAGCCGACCUGAGAGGGUGAUCGGCCACACUGGAACUGAGACACGGUCCAGACGCCUACGGGAGGCAGCAGUAGGGAAUCUUCCGCAAUGGGCGAAAGCCUGACGGAGCAACGCCGCGUGAGUGAUGAAGGUCUUCGGAUCGUAAAACUCUGUUAUUAGGGAAGAACAUAUGUGUAAGUAACUGUGCACAUCUUGACGGUACCUAAUCAGAAAGCCACGGCUAACUACGUG